rnacentral:rRNA from 1 species
AUGAAGGAAGUCACAUUGGAACAAACUAUGAAGUGGCAUAAGGGUAAUGAUAUUUGGGUUGUGGCAUUAAUACACCCUGUAUUUGACAAAACUAAUGUCACUGUUCCUGAUCUAGUCCAGCCUGUGAUGCAAGAGUUUGCAGAUGUGUUCAAGGAACCCACUGACUUACCUCCUGCCAGAACAUUAGAUCAUGCUAUUCAUUUGUUACCAGGAGCUGCACCAGUAAAUUCUAAGCCCUAUAGAUACUCUCCUUUGCAAAAGGAUGAAAUUGAGAGACAAGUGGCUGAUAUGCUCAAAGCUGGUACUAUAACUCCCAGUCUUAGUUCCUUUCUUCUCCUGUUCUAUUGGUAA